rnacentral:rRNA from 1 species
GAUCCUGGCUCAGGACGAACGCUGGCGGCGCGCCUAACACAUGCAAGUCGAACGAGCGAGAGAGAGCUUGCUUUCUCGAGCGAGUGGCGAACGGGUGAGUAACGCGUGAGGAACCUGCCUCAAAGGAGGGGGACAACAGUUGGAAACGACUGCUAAUACCGCAUAAGCCCACGGCUCGGCAUCGAGCAGAGGGAAAAGGAGCAAUCCGCUUUGAGAUGGCCUCGCGUCCGAUUAG